UACGGAGGGUGCAAGCGUUAUCCGGAUUCACUGGGUUUAAAGGGCGCGUAGGCGGCGCGGGAAGUCCGUGGUGAAAGCCCGAGGCUCAACUUCGGGUCGGCCAUGGAUACUCCUGGGCUUGAGCACUGUAGAGGCAGGUGGAAUUCCGGGUGUAGCGGUGGAAUGCGUAGAGAUCCGGAAGAACACCGGUGGCGAAGGCGGCCUGCUGGGCAGUAGCUGACGCUGAAGCGCGACAGCGUGGGGAGCAAACAGG
rnacentral:rRNA from 1 species